rnacentral:sRNA from 1 species
UCGUAUCUAGCGGUGCGACAGUGUUCGA